CUGUGAGUAGGUUCUAGGGAAUUUCCUAUAUAGUAUCUCAUUUAUUUCUUAUAACAAUCCUUGCAAUUAAGUAGAAUAGCUGCCAUUUUAUAAAAACAGAAGCUAGGUUGAUGACAACGUGGAUGUGUGUUAGUCAGCAGAGAUGACUUAGAAGGAAGUGUCAGAACAGGGGAAAACCACAAGAGUGUGAUGCUCCAGAAGAGAGCUACUGUGCAAUAUGUAGUCUAAGAUGUCUCAGAAUAAUCAGAUAAAAAUAGACCAAUAGCAUUUAGCAACACAGAGAUCAUUGGUGACCAGUGAGAAGAUGUUGUCAGUGUGUGUUGGAAACAGAAGUCAGUAAGGAGUGUGCUGAGAAGUGAGGAGAAGAAUAAAACUGGAUAUGUGAUGACGCCCAAUGGAUACCUGCACUUGUGAAGUCCCUGUCUCAUCGAUCUAAGCGAAGCUAUAUGUGACUUGCUUUGGCCAGUGGCCAUUACCAGAUGAGAUGCCCGCGUACACAGGAAAAGCCCUUUUGAAUUGGGGCUUGGACAUUCUUGCUCUUGAUAACACUGCUGCCAUGUAGAAGCCUGGGUUAGCCCAUCUGAGGACACGACCAUGAAGAGCAGACAUGAGCCUUCCUAGCUGAGGCCACAAGCUGACACACCAGCUGAUUACAGCCACAUGAGUGAACUCAGGCAAGUCAACAAGUGAACUGACAAGGCGGGCUUAGCUGGAAUCAUAGGCAAAUAAAUGAUUGGUCUUUUAAAUCACCAAGUUUUACGGUGGCUUAAUUAACUGCAAUAAAUAGAUACAGCUUGCAAUCCAGGGCAAUUACGGUAUGUCUUCAAAUGCAUUUCUGUAAUUGACCUAGUUUUCCAAGACUUCAGGAUAUAGUCAUCUAUAAAUACAAUUACAAUCUCAUUCUUUGUAGCACUCCCGUAUUCCCUCCAAAGGUCUAUUCAACACAUUGUAAACUUCAUGAUUUGCUUUGCUCUUAUUUUAUUUUAACUGUUUCAGGAAACUAUGUGUGAACUUAGUAUAAUAGCUACAAGAGAGUUCAUACAGGCCUUAAAAUUACUUAAUUUAUUGAGCUGUAUAUUUUUAAUAUGUAUUCUUUUCUUCAUGUAUAUUUUUACUUUAUAUUUAAAAAAAAUGUUUACCUAGAUGGUAGCCAGAACGACAAGAAAAUUUAGAACAGCAUUUUCUAAACCAGAGGUUGGCCACCUUUUAAGAGAUAUGUGUCAUGGUUUUAGCAACCAAACUGCUUCUUGACUUUUAAUGACAGAGGGUAAAGAAUAUAUGACUAUGUUGUGACCAUCAAUUCUCCUGACAGCAGGAGCUGCCACAGAAGGUAUAAAGGAAAUUGUGUAGGAGGUACGAAAUAUUACCCCCACACUCCCCUGGCAUGCUGACUUUGGCACAUACAUCAUAGGACCUUGGUUACUGCACGGAAUCCUCAAAUAUAAGUGGAGUUGUGGGAAAUUGUGUGUUGAAAAGCACAGGCCAGCAUGGUUUUAAUUUAAUGUCUUUUUUUUAAAAGAAAAUUACAUGCUACAUAACAGUCAUGAAAAGGUUUAGUGGGGUAUGGGGUUUGUUUUGGGAACCCAGAUCCUGAUAACUUUUACUUGGAAUGCUCUUCUAGGCCUGCCCAUGUAUAGUAACAAGGUAGAGAGUUUGGAUAGUAUAUUUUCCUUUAAAGUCAAAGAAGGUCAGUGUCUACUCAUGUUCUAUCUCUGCCAUGGUGUGCAUGCCCUAGUGAUAUCUGAGUCUAUUCACAGAGUGUACUCACAAUAGCAUGUUAUUUGAUAAAUCAAUAAAUGUAAGAAUGAGUGAAUAAAUGAAAUGUAGCAGGACCAAAUUCUUUUUCUUUGAUUUUCUUUCUCUGUAAUUGUUUUCUAUUUCAUUCCAGUUUAUAGUAGAUGUGUGGUUUAAGUGAGCACUGACUUAUAAAAACAGAUCAUGUUAUUUGAGUGAAACUUUCCGCAAAAUUAUAGUAACUGGAAUUUGAAUAGUAAAAUUUGCAGAGUGCAAUGUUCAGUUGCAUAUAUUGCAACAAACAUAUGCAUUUGUGUUACUAUUGUUAUGAAUAAUAAUUGUUAUUAUUAUUAUGUUUCUACAGAUGAGGAAACAAAUUCAGAAAGUUAAAUGACUUGUCAAAUUCUCAUUGCUAGUAAGUGAAAGAAGUGAUACUCAAAUUCAGGCUUUCUGGUCCAAGAGUAUAGCUGGGUUUUUUAUGCUAUCUUUGUGUGAUGCAUGUCUCAGUGAGCUGCCCAGUUCAAUGCCUAUCUCCUCCCAGAACUAAACCCUCAUUUCCCCAGCUGCUGGGAGUGUUGAUGGCUGACAGUUCUCAGCUGAGUCAGCAAGUCCUCUUUGGGAUUUACCCUAGCCCAAAACGAGCCCAGCCCAGUCCACACUCGCACAAUUUGAAAGGAUGUCAGUACACCUCUAAUUAUUUGCUGAUGCAAGGGCAUAAGAGCCUGUCCACUCACUCCAAUUUUGGACAACUCUAAAGGACUACCCUAGCUGUAGAGCUUCCCAGGUAUGAUCAGCUGAUGCCUUGGUUGCAAAUGCAUCACAGUUCAACUUCACUCACUGCCUCAUCCAGGUGUUGAUUCCAAGAGCACCUGCCAAUGAAGUAACUGUGUACAUCUCUGUUUUAGAGUCUGCUUUCUGGGGUAUCCAACAUGUGAAUCUUCACUGCAAUGUUGUCUCCUUUAUUAAUGCAUUUUAUGCUUCUUUAGAACUGUAUUCAUUCAAUCAACACAAAUUGAGUUCUCAUGUAUCAGUCAAAAAUAAAUUGUAAGUAGCAAACCACUCUAUUUUUAGCAAAAAUGGAUUUAAUACAAAGAAUUGGGUCCUUCUACAUCUUUGGAAUGGUUGGACUCCCAUGACUGAGUGUCAUUUUUGCCUAAGCAAGAAGAUGGAGAGUGAAACAGACUUUCUUAAAUUAAUGACUGGUUAUAUUUCAGCACCUAAGCUGCAAUUCUGGGGUCAGAAAGCAACUGCUAGAACCACUGGCUCCAGAGUCUCAUCCUACCUACUAGAUAUGUACCAGUGAAUUGGAUGUCUUUUACCAUCUUUGCUGUUUUCCUCAUUUAACAUUGUUACAAAUUCAAAUAGAUACACACAUAUGAUUCAAGAACAUAAAUCACCUCUGGAAAGUUACCUGGGAGGUGUUCUGGUAAAGGUUUUCUUAGCUUUCUGGUUUCUGCAGUAUAGGAAGUUAUCCCUCAAGAAAGUUGGAAGAAAUAAACUAUGCCAGUCUACUGUAUCUACCACAUGUUACAAACCAAAGAGUCUUUGCCUUCAGCAACUUACAUUUUAGUCAAAAUAUAAGACAAAAAAUAAACAGAUAGGGCAGACAACUUGACAAUACUCUUGGAUAAAGCUAUUAGAAAAUCAACAAACUUUACAACUGAAAGAUGUUUAGGUUGGCAACAGUCAAUGCAACUUGUUUCUAGAGCUAUUCAUAUAAUAGUGCCACGGUGAGACAGUUAAUUGGAAAAUACUACUUGGUAAUGGCUAUAUAAAUCAAAAUGUGCCUUCAAAGACAGUGUGGGAGUUUAGUUACGUGCUACUACUUAUGAAAUAAUUCUAUGGGAGUUGGCAAAACUGAUUAGUUAAAUUUGGAGAAUUUAUGCUAUAGGAAUUAAGCUUGAUUGGUACUUGACUCAUGUUUCUCUAGAGUUUAAAUGUGAAAAGUUUAACUUUGAAGAGUUAUGGGCUAUAGAUUAUUCAAUACAAGAAGUUAACAUUUUGACCAAAAAACAAAAACAAAAACAAAAAAAGACAAAACAGUAGCUAGUUUUGCAGCGUGAGCCAGAGCAAAUAACACAAAACUGAGUAUAGAAUAUUGCUGCUUAAACUGUUCUUGGUGAAGGACUCCCUUGAGAAUCUAGUAAAGAAUAUAAACUCAUUAUAUUUUUGAAUGCAGAAAUAUACACACGUACAUGUAUAUGUACAUACCAAAUAUUCACAAAUAUCAGCAGGCUCACAGAUGCUUUGAACUUAUGAAAUCUCCUGAAGACCUUGGGUCUUCCUUAAGAAAUUCUAUACUAGAGUGCUGUGCUCUUUUACAUUUCUGAGGUUACUGUGAUGUUUUAGUUCUCAAAAAGUUGAAACCUGUACACAUAUAAGUAUUUUUGUACCUAUAUGUGUGUGCAUAUACACAUAUACGUAAAAUUAAAUAUAUCCUACCAAAUGUCAUACUGGUGAAGAAUUGUAGCCUCAAUUGGUUAUCUCAGAAAUUGUUGCACCCCAU
rnacentral:lncRNA from 1 species